rnacentral:tmRNA from 1 species
GGGGGCGAUCGGCUUCGACGGGUGGUCGAAGGCGGGCGCUGCGUGCCGAGGUCGUCACACUCCUCGUUAAACAGGUGGCAAGUUGGUAGCUGAUAACUGCCGACGAUAACUACGCUCUCGCUGCCUAGCUGAACCCUAGAGCAGUGACGUCCGUCCGCGACGCCUCCUGGCGGGUAGCGGGCGUCAUCAGGAGGCUGGCUUCCGACCGCUGGUAGGCCGAGUCGGGGGCGAGAAAAUCGUCUGCCUGGGCGGGGUUUCUCCCGGUGUUGUGACAGGCCCCGCCGAGAUCGAACAGCACCUACGCACGUAGACGCGUCCACUGGACGCCAUGCGGACGCGGGGUCGAUUCCCGCCGCCUCCACCA